CAAUCUGAGAUUUUCACAUAUAAACACUUAACUAUUCUAAGUGAUGAUUCUUUAUCCUAUGAUAAGUGAUUAUUUAACAAGCUCAACAGGACUGACUUUUCUGUUGGACCCACCUAACUUUAAUAACUUGAGUAAAUGUAUUUUUCUAACCAGUUCUUUUUUUUAUUGGUUACAGACUCCUGUUGUUUCCGAAGGGCAGUUUUGUUCACUUAAGGUUGUAUCUCGUUCUUCCUGGUCGGAUCUCAUCCCUUGGUGUUUUCUCUAAUCGGUUUGUCGUCCAUUGAUUCACUUCGAAGUAUACGACUUUGGGAGGAUUGGUGUGAAAGGUCGCUUGGGUUCUGUUCCGUCAUGGGAUUGAUUAAGAUGUGGUGGGAAUGAUCGAAGAUAUCGACAUUUCAAAAUGUCCACCUGCUAUUGAAUGAUGUCAUACUGCAAUUACAUAAAUCUGCAGGAGCUUAAAAAACGCAUCAGGAAUGUUUCAGGUUUUCGUCGGUCGAUGUCUUAGUCUGGGGAAAUAGGACAGGCCAUGCAAACAUGUCAUUUUUUAUAUUAUCAUAGUCACUUUUAACACUGUUGGGUCAUUCGUGACUUGUCCGGGGGAAGAGAUUUGAAUUAGUGACUUUGGCGUGAGAGGUAUGGAUGUUAACCACUACGCCGGGGCUGUCGCCUUUUUAAUUUUUUCAUUGCAAAGUUUCAAUCACUGAGGCUGUUAAUAAAUUAUGGAGAUGACCAAUCUAAUAUUGCCGGACUUGUCUUCCGUUUUUAGAAGGGGCCAUGUAUCAUUUACGUAAAGCAGUUUUAUGGAUGUUUUUAAAGACAUAUGCUGAAAUUUAGUUAAAUUAAAUUAAUGUUCUAUGUUCGAGUCCCUUAACCACCUUUAUAAGAAAAUUUCUUAUGCUUACGUAAUUGUUGCAUGGUUCCUCAGUAAGAUGGAUAUUGUUGCUGCUAAUGCAACUUUUACAAUGCAAGAAAUGGCACAAAUAAAAAGUAAAUAAAAUAAUUAUUAUCU